rnacentral:pre_miRNA from 1 species
CUGCGGUACUCCUUCUCAGCUUUUGAUUGUUGCUCAGAAGGCGUGGCAAUCUGACAAGCCUUCGAGUGACUAUCAAAUCUUGUGGAGACGCCAAUUCGUCA